rnacentral:rRNA from 1 species
CGGACGGGUGAGUAAUGCUUGGGAAUCUGGCUUAUGGAGGGGGAUAACUACGGGAAACUGUAGCUAAUACCGCGUAAUAUCUUCGGAUUAAAGGGUGGGACUUUCGGGCCACCUGCCAUAAGAUGAGCCCAAGUGGGAUUAGGUAGUUGGUGGGGUAAAGGCCUACCAAGCCGACGAUCUCUAGCUGGUCUGAGAGGAUGACCAGCCACACUGGAACUGAGACACGGUCCAGACUCCUACGGGAGGCAGCAGUGGGGAAUAUUGCACAAUGGGGGGAACCCUGAUGCAGCCAUGCCGCGUGAAUGAAGAAGGCCUUCGGGUUGUAAAGUUCUUUCGGUGAUGAGGAAGGUGUUUGUUUUAAUAGAGCAAGCAAUUGACGUUAGUCACAGAAGAAGCACCGGCUAACUCCGUGCCAGCAGCCGCGGUAAUACGGAGGGUGCGAGCGUUAAUCGGAAUGACUGGGCGUAAAGGGCACGCAGGCGGUGACUUAAGUGAGAUGUGAAAGCCCCGAGCUUAACUUGGGAAUUGCAUUUCAUACUGGGUCGCUAGAGUACUUUAGGGAGGGGUAGAAUUCCACGUGUAGCGGUGAAAUGCGUAGAGAUGUGGAGGAAUACCGAAGGCGAAGGCAGCCCCUUGGGAAUGUACUGACGCUCAUGUGCGAAAGCGUGGGGAGCAAACAGGGUUAGAUACCCUGGUAGUCCACGCUGUAAACGCUGUCGAUUUGGGGAUUGGGCUUUAAGCUUGGUGCCCGUAGCUAACGUGAUAAAUCGACCGC